CGGAGGCUGCCAGAGGCUCGCCGCUCUCUCCCCCAGAUCCCGACAGCCUCCAGCUUUGCUUCCGUGGGCCUAGGAUUUCCAGAUUUAGGUUUAAAAUAAGCCCAUACAUUUCUGCUCCAACCUCAGAAGUGUCCAGGACCGCGAAACUCCGGGCCCAGACUGGAAGUCCUCAGUAGCUUCUCCCAGCCUCUGCACAGAAAUGUGUGACGGACGCCACCCACCCCGGCUUCCAGGGCUGUUCUGGAGAUGCCCCCGCAUCCCGAAUGCCGCGCCCCUACCCACCAGAUU